rnacentral:rRNA from 1 species
GACAGAGGGUGCAACCGUUGUUCGGAAUUACUGGGCGUAAAGCGCGUGUAGGCGGCUCUGCAAGUCGGAUGUGAAAUCCCACGGCUCAACCAUGGAAGUGCAUUCGAAACUGCAGGGCUAGAGUCCUGGAGAGGAAGGUGGAAUGCUUGGUGUAGAGGUGAAAUUCGUAGAUAUCAAGCGGAACACCGGUGGCGAAGGCGGCCUUCUGGACAGUGACUGACGCUGAGACGCGAAAGCGUGGGGAGCAAACAGG